GACGAACGCUGGCGGCGUGCUUAACACAUGCAAGUCGAACGAAGAGCGAUGGAAGCUUGCUUCUAUCAAUCUUAGUGGCGAACGGGUGAGUAACGCGUAAUCAACCUGCCCUUCAGAGGGGGACAACAGUUGGAAACGACUGCUAAUACCGCAUACGAUCUAACCUCGGCAUCGAGGAUAGAUGAAAGGUGGCCUCUACAUGUAAGCUAUCACUGAAGGAGGGGAUUGCGUCUGAUUAGCUAGUUGGAGGGGUAACGGCCCACCAAGGCGAUGAUCAGUAGCCGGUCUGAGAGGAUGAACGGCCACAUUGGGACUGAGACACGGCCCAGACUCCUACGGGAGGCAGCAGUGGGGAAUCUUCCGCAAUGGACGAAAGUCUGACGGAGCAACGCCGCGGGAGUGAGGACGGCCUUCGGGUUGUAAAGCUCUGUUAAUCGGGACGAAAGGCCUUCUUGCGAAUAGUGAGAAGGAUUGACGGUACCGGAAUAGAAAGCCACGGCUAACUACGUG
rnacentral:rRNA from 1 species